UGGGGAAUUUUGGACAAUGGGGGCAACCCUGAUCCAGCGACGCCGCGUGGAGGACGAAGGUCUUCGGAUUGUAAACUCCUUUUGGAGGGGAUGAAUGUCUGCGUGAAAAACGCAGAGUGACAGUACUCUCUGAAUAAGCCACGGCUAACUACGUGCCAGCAGCCGCGGUAAUACGUAGGUGGCAAGCGUUACUCGGAAUCACUAGGCGUAAAGCGCAGGUAGGCGGCUCGACAAGUCUCUUGUGAAAGCUCCCGGCUCAACUGGGAGAGGUCAAGGGAAACUGUCGGGCUGGAGUGUGGUAGAGGAGACUGGAAUUCCCGGUGUAGCGGUGAAAUGCGUAGAUAUCGGGAGGAAUACCUAUGGCGAAAGCAGGUCUCUGGGCCAUCACUGACGCUGAGCUGCGAAAGCUAGGGGAGCAAACAG
rnacentral:rRNA from 1 species